AGAAAAAGGUCUUAACCCUGCUGUUUGACCUGCGCGAUCAGUACAAAAAAGCAGAACCUGCCUCUUCAGCCGUGCACAUUUUGAGGAUGGAGACUAUGGUGGAUUUUGAGGCAGAGGAGCAACGCCUCUGUGAUGCGCAAGCUUUUGAUACCCUGGCUCUUCAGUAAUGCCCUGAUGGCGAGGUUUAAUAUGAAGGGGAAGGGGAAAAGGGGCAAGAAACCUUUGGAGAACACAAAGGUUUAUAGAGCAAUACAAGAUGGAGUCAUGAAAUUUGACCCGGCAGCCACAGAGGGCUUUAUAAGGAUGUGUGCUUCAGAGCAUUUAAAGCAUGCACCACAAAGAU